UCCACUGCUUAGUUGGUAAAGCACAAAGCUCUUAACCUUGUGGACAUGGAUUUAAGCCCCAUGGUGGAG
rnacentral:tRNA from 1 species